rnacentral:rRNA from 1 species
UGGUCGGGUUUGCAUUCCAAUGGCAUUGCCCGGUAGCUAAGUGCGGAAGAUAUAACCUCUGAAAGCAUCUAAUCGGGAAACUUGCCUCGAGAUGAUUCUUCCCUGUCGCUUUAAGUGACCUAAAGGAACGUUUAAGACUAAGACGUUGAUAGGCUGGGUGUGUAAGCGUAGCGAUACGUUGAGCUAACCAGUACUAAUGAACCGUGAGGCUUAACCUGACAACACCGAAGGUGUUU